AAUAACUGACUACUACUUGGUCUCCUUUCUUGUAGUUGUGUCCAGUAUUAAUCCUAGAGAAGCCAACCUGAAAGAUGAAAGCACGAAAUUCCCAGCUGUCAAUACUACUGAACCGAGGAUGUCCUUGCAAGAUGCAAAUGAUUUGCUGAGCCUACAGAACACCAGCACCUUUGCCUACUACACCUACCUCCUGCUCCUGCUCAAGGGCGCCCUUCAUGGGGCCCUAGUCACCUUCUGUCUGUGCAGGAGGUCUGCUGUCUGCUGUGAUGGGAAGAGCACCUGACAGAUGAAGUCACAUGGGACCAUGAUGAACCCAUCAUUUGUUUCCUGUCCCCAGUGGCAUCUGCUGUGGGUCUACCAAGCUUGAUGGGCUCUGGCUUCGAAAGGCCACAUGUGCAUUAUUCUGUCAUUGCAGAACAAGUGCUCCCCCAAAAAGUGGGCAAACUCUGCAACUUCUCUCUGAUGGAAGAAAGUGUGCCCACGGAGGACCUAAGCCCCAUCCCUCCACAGCCCCACAAUCCUUCGAGCCAUCCUGGGUCCUCAGAGCCUCUGUGUGCAUACCCCGCUGCUCUGGUCAGGGUCAUCCCUGGAAACCUCCAUUCAACCCACCCUCACAUGGUCCUCUUCAUGGUUGAACUAUGCUUUGAGAUUC